AUGUCAUAUCAGAGAGGACGCAAUGUUUCAAUUUGUCACUUUUUGCUUAAAGGUCAGUACCUGUCCAGCCUUCCAGAAGUUUUUGAGAGGGCGAAGACUGUGGCGCCGGAGUUGAAGCACAUCAAAGUUGUUUUACCAUGGCACAUGAUCGGGAUGGACCUCAUCGGCUCCUUCACGAAAUCCAGGAAAGGCAACAGCUGGUGUCUGACGGCGACCGAUCACUUUACCAAGUGGAUGGAGGCAAUACCCAUUAAGUUCAGUAAAGGAAGAGAACGUGCUUAACUCUAAAUACCCAUCUGCAACCCAUUAAAAAGGGUGCUUGGAACCAAAAAUAGAUUUUAGUUUUUUUAUGAUACAAAACUAGUGAGACCACCUCCAAGGAUAUGGUGGGCAUCUUCAACACCCACUAUUCUCCUGAGGUCAUCUUGAGUGUCCGAGGUCAGGUACGGAUUGUUAUAGGUUAUAUUCUGUCACCAAUGGUUUGUUUUGUUUAUUUUGUUACAAUCUGUUUUUGUUUUUCCAUGGUAGAUAAUCAGACAUAUUUCAAUAUCUUACAUUAUCAAUAGAUAUCACUUUCCUACCCCCCUCCUCCAGGUUUGGAGAAUGGACCAACCAGGCCAUUGUGAUUGACUUAGUGUUGUUUGUCUAUUGCUAUUUUUGCUUAACGGUCUUUCAGAUCACUGAAACCCCACCUGAUGUGAUGGAAGUUGUCGAAACCAGAUCAGGACGCCUUUGAGAAUUACCUUCAGGCACGGACUGAGAAGGAUGUGGAGGUCUUUGACCAUAUAAAAAUUAUUGUCCGUUGUUUUCUGGACCUCCAAGAGCUAUGUAAGAAAAGUAUUUGUAAUAUGAAAUAUAAUUGCAUGUGCUCCUGUCAUCCAACAAGGUGAGACUGAACAUGGACAAGGCGCAGGAAAAACAGAAGGAGAGCUACCGGAGCAGAGUCAAGAAUUGGACCAAGUGCUACGACAUCCGGGCAAAUGACACGAAAGGAAGGCAGAGACCUUGGAAACCUCGCUGCUCCUAGCUGUGGUCCCGAUCUGUUAAAGUGAAUAGAAAAAAUUCAGAUAAUAACUAUUUGCAUUUGCACACAAAAUUACCUGAAGCUAGUUUCAGUUUCCCUAACACUGACAUUUUUCUCAUGGUCUUCCUAGGGUUACCUAGGGUUACCUAGGAAGCUAACUAUCUUCUGCAGUUGGACGGUCUACCACUGGAAGCAUUGACGCCCUACACUUAAGUGAAGCCCAAUUUACAAAGGAGGUUAAGCUUUGGUUGACAUUUGAGAAAGCAAGAAAUGGUUGUUAUACUAAGCUUACAAAAAUGUACCUCUUCAAUUUACCUCUCCAAAUGACUUUAGGACCAUCGACUGUCCGAGCCCCCCAGGAGGUAUCCCAUCUACCAGAACCAGUGAGUUCGGAUCAGUCUGAUUCUCUGUGCUCUGAGUCGGAGGGGGACUAGCUUGAGGUAGGCUACACCUUCCAAAAGUGUUGAAAAGUACAUAUCUCUGUUAAUCCAUCAAAUUUUCUCACAGUAAAGUGUAAUCUGUGUGUUUGCUUGUUUAUGUCGGUCUCCUACCAUGUCCCCUUCAACUCUGCUCCUGUUCUCCAAGAGCUAGGGGUUUUGGCCAACACCCAGAUCCACCUGAUGUCCUCCAUUACCAACCAUUCUUUUCAUUACGUCAUCUACAGCUACGGUUAUCAUUAUCUGCUAAGAAAGCUGUCUUGCGCUAUCAUACUGGGCACAUAAUAUGUGAGAGACACAGAUGAACUAAGAACAUUAGCACUGCAAAUCCUCUGAACAAAGUGAACAGCAGUGCCUGGACUUUGCAGUCUCCUUCUUCAAGUCCCCCCUUCUGAGACUGGGUGCCUGUUGAGAACAAGUGACAGGCAGAAUCACAGCAACCACCUCCUAUAUUCCACACACCAGAAUGAUGUAUUUAGUCUAUGAUUGCCAUGUGAAAAUAAAUUAAUGACACAACUGUACCAAAAAAUAUCUGCGUUUCUGUGUUACAAUCUUAAAUUUUGACAGGUUGGUUUUCACAACAUGUUCAUUGCUGUAAGGUAUCCUUUGAUGGUAUUUAUUUGUUCCUCAUUAGUCAUUGAAUGUAGUAAAUCCUGCCGUAGGGAAAGCGUGCAUCUCACAGGUGAGGGAAACGACCUCUUCCUUGAGUUUGAGAGCUGAUCCCUCUUUUGUUCUAGCAAGACCUGUGCUCUUGGGGUAAUUCUCAAAAUGCAUUUAUUAAAAAAAAUUUAAAGGAAGUGUCAGGGAACAUUAUUUUUUUACAUGUAUCUAACCUUUGUGUAGUGACAGUCUCCAUAUAUACUGUACUUCCAUAAAUGUUUUAUACUGGUAUAAGGGGACUUUAUGUAUUAACCUAUCAAGAUCAAAUAUUGUAGUUGGGCAACAUAUGAGAUGUGAAUAUAAAACAUUUCAUUCUGAAGUCGGAGUGUACUUUCUCUUGAUUCAGCUCAAAUAACGGCGCCAUUGAUUUAAAGAAAUGUUAUGACAUUUUUUUACGUGGUUGCGUCAUAUUUCUUUGCAUACUUUCCAUUGAAGCUUGCAUCACUGCAUGCUUCAAAAUAUGUACAAACGGAGUUUGCAUUUUGAGAAGUGCCCUCCAUGCUCCAUUUCGCAUGCUUUCAUUUGGAAUCGUACUCCGAUCCUCCCGUGCUCCAAUUUUCGUUGUAUGCAUUUUGAGAAUUACCCAUCGACUUUGACAGACCAUUUAAAUUUCUUGAAUCCUUCCUUCCAAAAUGAUUUUGUUCAUUUACUCAAUAGGGAUUUCACGUUUAUUUAUCUUGCUUGGUUAAAAUACAAUACUCUAAAACAGUCGAUUUGUUGACUCAUUUAAUCACGUUAAAACCCAUUUCCUUUUCUUUUGACUGUGUGCUACUACAGGCGGCAACCUGAUCUCAUAGCAUUUCUUAUUAUUCUUUAUGGAUAUUUUUAUGUGUAAGUAUUCAUUUGUGGAUGUCCAUCCCUUUCACAUAAUAUGUUAUGAGUUACAAUUCAUAUGGUAUGUUACGAAUUGCAGUUGUAUGAUAUGUUAUGAACGCAAUACGUAGGAUAUGUUGCCAAUUCCAAUUUGUUGUAACUAACGUUAGCUAGGUGUCUAAUGCUAACGUUAGCUAGGCUAGGGGUUACGGUUAGGAGUGAGGUGAAAGGGUUAAGGUUAGGAGUUAUGUUCAAUGUUAGUGUUAGGGGAAGUGUUAGCUAACAUGCAAAGUAGCUAAAAAAGUAGUAAGUAGAUGCAAAGCUGGUAAUUGGACAAAAUGCUAGUUGUCCAUGAGAUUUGAACACUCAAUUUUUGGGUUGCUAGACAUUUGCUUAUACGACUAACCAACCUCAUUUUUGCAUGAAAGGAGAAUUUUCCUCUUUCUGAAGUCAAUCUAAAUGUUUUAUGUAAAUGAAAUGUUAUAGUCGGUUCCAGACACUUUUUCUGUGAUUUGGCUUGUUUUUGAUAAACUUACCCCAGCUUCAAUUCACUUUCUCAUUGCUCUUUGUACAGCAUCAGGGAAUGCAAAAGACAUGAUUAAACUCCAAAAAUACAUAAACACAUCCUUUUAGUAAUGGACAUGCUCUCUUUAUAGUGAAGUCUAGGUUGUGCCCUGAUACUACACAACAAGCAAUGAGGAAGUGAAUCGCAGCCGGGGUAAGUUUAUCAAGAACAAGCCAAAUCACAUACAAAGUGUCUGGACCCUUCUAUAAUGUGCCAUUUACAUCAAAAAUAGAGAUUUACUUUAGAAAGAGGAAAAUUAUCCAGUAACCUUCUGUCUUAUGUAACCAAACUAAACGUAACAUAUCAUACUAAUAAACGUAACAUAUACUAAUUUCAGUGUCCCGGAUUUUAUUUUAGUAUGUUACGUCUAUAAGGGUCGAGUCUGGUAACUUGAAGUGAGCAUGCACAACUGAGGUUCUGUUUCUAUGUGUGUUUGGGAUUCAACCAUUUCCUGUAUGUGGUUCAUACCUAGAUUACUUAACAAAAUGAUUUGUUUUUUUUAGGCUAUGGUUUCUCAUGGCUGUUCUUCGAGGAAAUAUAGCGUAGCUAGCUAACUGCAGUGUUUGUUGUGUCUGAAAUCUGGCUACCUCCUUUUAUUGUAGCUGUAGCUUGGUUUGUACAAUGCAAAUAAAUGUGAGUUGCGUGGCAGUUUCCCAAAGUUUGGUGGUUUUAAUAGUAACGUAACUAACUAUGUAAAUUCAGCCUAAUUUACUGCCUUUAAAAUAAACAUAGCUGAUAUGGCUGACUUGCUUAAACAAAUGUGGUUUCUACUGACAAUUCAGAUGUACAAACUAUGGCAUAAGGGGACGACAAGUUUAUAAGAGGCAAUCCGUAAUUUCGAUUAAGACAUUAAUGAGCGAGGACGGACGUAGUCAAUAUAACUAUUUGUACAGCACUUUUGAAAUGUACAACAACAGAA
rnacentral:lncRNA from 1 species